GUGCUUUACAGAAUCUUGUUAACUCAUAUUAAAAAUGAGGUUAAAUCUAUGUUGUUAUUACUUUGUCGCAAAAUCAACUUGUGUACCACAACUCCGUUGCUGCGCAUCGUAUAUAUCUCGCAGCGGGAGGAAUGUCGGUGCGAGACGCUCUUCGUUGGCAGGAUUCUCACGAUGCCGCAC